rfam:Myotis lucifugus cont2.38413, whole genome shotgun sequence.
UGGCUCAGUGGAUAGAGCAUUGGUCUUCAGAAUGGAGGAUCCUGGGUUCGAUUCCCAG